CCCGACUCGAACGAGACUGCUCAGAUUUUGUGACUCGAUUUUGUUGAAAAUAAAUAAAUAAAUUAGUUUUUCGACACUUGUCCUAUAGAUACAGCCGUCAAUCGGUUUAGUCGACUGUAGAAUAGGGAAUCCUGAAAGAAAUGUUUCAAAAUCUAUAGUCAAUUCUAGCAGCUUGUUGGUUAACUUGGACUUCCUACAAGAUGCAGACUAUCAGUGUGACUGUGACUUCUUCAGUUUUUGACAGAUGGAAUCGAUUAAAAACACAACUGAAAUUUAUUGAUGAUGGUGAUCUAACACUGUUUUUGAUUGAGUUUUGAGAUUGAUUGAAGUGGAUAGAUUGUUGUACCUGGUAGUAAUGUAAUUUAUAAUUAACAGGGAAUCCAAGAACCUAAAUAUUUAUCACAAUGGGGAAGUCCAGAAUUCAAAUAUAACAGACAUGACAAUCCCAUAUAAAAAUGAUUAUGAUAAGGAAGAAAGAUGUUCAAAUGUGGUUAAAAUAGCACAUAGUCUUGAUGAAGUUGACUGUAUAAUCAAACACUAUGAAGUAAAUACAUCAUCAAAGUUUAUUACGAAAAAGAAAGAAAAAUGCUUUGGUAAUGAAAAUAUUGUUGAUGAUAUGGAAAAACAAAUGAUACGGUUUGAGGACACACAACCAAAUGCAGUCCCGAAAAUUAUUUAUGAUAGAAUUCCAUUUGUAAUUGCUGGCAAGAAAAUAAUGGAAUGCCAUCUGGGAAUUGAUCGUGAUAAAAAAAAGAAAGAGGAGAGAAGGAAGAAAAUUGAAGAUUUGAGUAAUACAGACCACAGUUUUGCGAUUAAAAAGCGGAAGGUCCAGGAUAGCAAAAAGAAGAUGUGUCCAGUACAAAUUAAAAUUCGUCAUAUUGUAAAAUUUCCUGACUUUAAACUUUCCAAGAAUACCAAGAGAAGCAGAGACAAUCUUAGUCGGGAUGUGAGGAGUGUUAUUGAUUCAGACUUUUUAACAACAAAAAUAGAACAUCAGUAUAUAAUAUUUCUACCAGCAGAAGAUGAUCAUAGAAACCACUUCAAAGGAGAGAAAGUAUAUGUAUAAUAGAGACUUUAAACCUUGGGAGAGGCUGAGCAAACAGGCAACAGUUAGUAAGACCAGGAUGUAACCAUCCACAAUGCUAGUAUUUGGUUACUAUUAGCAGGAAACCCAUUUAAUAGACAUGAUCACUUCAAAUAAAUUGGCCUGUCAAUCUUUUCACAGAUUGGGUUACACUCAUAUGGAUUGUUCUGUAGAAACAAGUUCCAUAAAUAUUGAAUAAAG